rnacentral:rRNA from 1 species
CACCGCGGUUAUACGAGAGGCCCAAGUUGACAGACCACGGCGUAAAGCGUGGUUAGGGGAAAAAUAUUAAACUAAAGUCGAACGACCUCAAGGCUGUUAUACGCUUACGAAGGUACGAAGCCCAUCCACGAAAGUGACUUUAACCCCCACCUGACUCCACGAAAGCUGAGAAA